GUGCCCGUAGCUCAGCUGGUAGAGCAGUGGCCUUUUAAGCCAUUGGCCGCAGGUUCGAAUCCUGCCGGGCAUA
rnacentral:tRNA from 1 species